rnacentral:rRNA from 1 species
GACGAACGCUGGCGGCGUGCCUAAUACAUGCAAGUCGAGCGGAGCGACGGAUGGGGGAGUAACGCGUGGGUAAGCUGCCCUUAAGUCUGGGAUACCCUUUGGCAACAGAUGCUAAUACCGGAUACUACAGGAUGGACCUGCGAUGCAUUAGCUAGUUGGUAAGGUAACGGCUUACCAAGGCGAUGAUGCAUAGCCGGGCUGAGAGGAUGAUCGGCCACAUUGGGACUGAGACACGGCCCAGACUCCUACGGGAGGCAGCAGUAGGGAAUAUUGCACAAUGGACGAAAGUCUGAUGGAGCCAUGCCGCGUGAGUGAAGAAGGUUUUCGGAUCGUAAAGCACUUUUGUUGGUGAAGCGGUAAUCACACAGAAAGUCACGGCUAACUACGUGCCAGCAGCCGCGGUAAUUC